CCUACGGGUGGCAGCAGUGAGGAAUAUUGGUCAAUGGACGAGAGUCUGAACCAGCCAAGUCGCGUGAAGGAUGACUGCCCUAUGGAUUGUAAACUUCUUUUAUAAGGGAAUAAAACGAGGCACGUGUGCCUUUUUGCAUGUACUUUAUGAAUAAGGAUCGGCUAACUCCGUGCCAGCAGCCGCGGUAAUACGGAGGAGCCGAGCGUUAUCCGGAUUUAUUGGGUUUAAAGGGAGCGUAGAUGGGUUGUUAAGUCAGGUGGGAAAGUUUGCGGCUCAACCGUAAAAUUGCAAUUGAUACUGGUAGUCUUGAGUACAGGUGAGGUAGGCGGAAUGCGUGGUGUAGCGGUGAAAUGCUUAGAUAUCACGAAGAACUCCGAUUGCGAAGGCAGCUUACUAAACUGUGACUGACAUUGAUGCUCGAAAGUGUGGGUAUCAAACAGGAUUAGAUACCCGGGUAGUC
rnacentral:rRNA from 1 species